rnacentral:rRNA from 1 species
AUACGGAGGAUGCGAGCGUUAUCCGGAUUUAUUGGGUUUAAAGGGUGCGCAGGCGGGCGAUUAAGUCAGCGGUGAAAGGCUCGGGCUCAACCGGAGCAGUGCCGUUGAUACUGGUUGUCUUGAAUGCGGUCAAGGCCGGCGGAAUGUGGCGUGUAGCGGGUAAAUGCAUAGAUAUGGCACAGAACACCGAUAGCGAAGGCAGCUGGCCGGGCCUGCAUUGACGCUCAGGCACGAAAGCGUGGGGAUCGAACAGGAUUAGAUACCCUGGUAGUCCACGCUGUAAACGAUGGACACUCGUUGUCGGCGACAGACAGUCGGCGGCCAAGCGAAAGUGAUAAGUGUCCCACCUGGGGAGUACGGUCGCAAGGCUGAAACUCAAAUGAAUUGACGGGG